UGAUGGAAAGUUGAAAAGAACUUUGAAGAGAGGGUUCAAGAGUACGUGAAACCGCCAUGGGAAAAAACGGAUGGGGCCUCGAAGGUACGGCCGCUGGGAUUCAGCCGCACGGGUCGGACGGCGUCGCGCUUUCGAUCGCAAGGCGAAACGCGACGCGCGCCGCGACCUCGAACGGUGCACUUCCCCGCGGCUGGAUGCCGCGACCGGUUGGCGAGCCGCCAACGGAGGGCUUCGCGGGAGACCGUCGGACGGAUUCGUCCCCCGGCGGACCGCGGCUCUCCGGCGGCCUCGCCGACCGUCUCCGAAAGGCUCGGCGCCCGCGCCACGACGCGUCGGUCUCAUGCGCUCCGACGGCGGCGCCCCGCUCUGCGGCGAGUAGAUCGGCGACCCAUCCGACCCGUCUUGAAACACGGACCAAGGAGUCUAACAUGUGCGCGAGUGAUUGGGCGACGAGAGACCCAAACGCACGAUGAAAGUGAAGGCUCGGAUUGCCGAGCCGAGGGGCGAUCCCGUCCCCUCGGGGACGGGCGCAACCCCGGGACGCGCCGAUCGCAACGUCGACGGCUCGUACCCCGAGCGUACACGUUGGGACCCGAAAGAUGGUGAACUAUGCCUGGCCAGGACGAAGUCAGAGGAAACUCUGAUGGAGGUCCGUAGCGAUUUUGACGUGCAAAUCAAUCGUCCGAGCUGGGUAUAGGGGCGAAAGACUAAUCGAACCAUCUAGUAGCUGGAUCCAUCCGAAGUUUCCCUCAGGAUAGCUGGCGCUCGCANGACCGAGUUUCAUCCGGUAAAGCGAAUGAUUAGAGGCCUUGGGGCCGAAACGANCUCAACCUAUUCUCAAACUUUAAAUGGGUGAGAAGUCGGGCUUGCUCGACUGAAGCACCGACCNUNGAAUCNAGAGUGCCAAGUGGGCCACUUUUGGUAAGCAGAACUGGCGCUGUGGGAUGAACCAAACGCAGAGUUAAGGUGCCCGAGAGAACGCUCAUCAGAUCCCAUGAAAGGUGUUGGUUGCUAUAGACAGCAGGACGGUGGCCAUGGAAGUCGGAA
rnacentral:rRNA from 1 species